UGCCCAGCCCGUGGCGGUCAGCCGGGCUCGGGCUGGAGGACCUCCUGUCUCUCACGCUGAAUUACCAGCAAAGGAUGGAGAGCAUCCUGGCUGGUUUGUGUGGGACCAGUCCAGAAGAUCCACUCCCCGUGUGGGUCCAUGGCAGCGUUGGCCAUUGCUUUAACCAGCUGACAUUAAAUGUGAUCCCUCAUGUGAUCCUUGCAGUGGUCAGUGCCUGCUUCCUUGGCACUCCAAGGUCUGGCUCUGGUGUGCCUUGCAGGUCAGGCUGGGGAUGCAGAAUCGCCACGUCCUUCUUACUUGCUGGCCUGUUCCUUGCUGAUACCAUCCCAGCCACCAUUUCCCAGCAGGAGCUGGGCCCCGUGUACCUGGAAGUGCUGGCCAAUGGCACUGCUGCCCUGACAUGGCUUGUGCAUGGUCUCGCUCUUCUCAUGCUCUGCAGGUCCACUCACGGCCCUACCAGGGGCCCUGUGGCCCUGGCUCUCCUCACUCUCUUACCCCUACCUUCUUUCAUCAUCACACUGGUGUGGUACUGCCAAAGUGGGACAGCUUGGUCUCCUUCCCAUCCUGCUGCCUCCUCCAGGUUCGCCAUUCUCUGUCUGCAGCUGGCAUCUCUGCUUGCCUAUAUGGUCAGCUGCCUCUUCCCAACCGCUGGCAGGCAAGACUUCCUCUCCAUCAAUAGCUCCUGGCAACAAGACCAGCUCACCUCAGAGCCAGGAAUCCCAGUGCUUGAUGAGCAGACAGUGGCAGAAGAUGGUGAGAGCUGGCUCUCGCGCUUCUUUUACAUUUGGAUGAACCCUCUUAUGAAGCGUGGCUAUCAGGGGAAGCUGAACCGGCCACAGGAUGUCUAUGUGCUUCCUCGCCAGCUCCAGGCUGCCACGGUCUGUGAUCGGUUUUACUUCUGCUGGCAGAAGAAGGCAGCUCUGCAUCACGUAGAGGAGGAGACAGUGUCUCUUACCAGCCCAAUCCUUGCUGGAGGUGAUGGGAGUAGCAAUGCUCCGGACAGCUCGCGCUGUGCCCAGAAGGCCGUGCGACUCUUCUCAGUCCUUCAUGCGGCCUUUGGGCUUCGUUUCUACUCCCUUGGACUUCUCAAGCUGGCUGGCAACCUGCUGGGUUUUUCAGGUCCUCUGCUUCUGAACUUGCUGGUGAACUUCAUGGAGUCACGGCAGGAGCCCCUGAGCCAUGGGGUGCUCUAUGCCCUUGGGCUCUUUGCUGGCUCCUUCCUGAGCGCUCUCUUACGGAACCAGUUCAGCUAUGAGAUGAACAAGGUGACACUGAUGGUACGGGCUGCCCUCAUCUCUGCCAUCUACCGCAAGGCUCUGCGUGUCAGCAGCACCAGCCUCAGCCGCUUCACUGUGGGGGAAAUUGUCAACUUCAUGAGCACGGACACCGAUCGAUUGGUCAACUUCUGCCUCAGUUUUCAUGAGGUGUGGAGCCUGCCUUUCCAGUUUGCCAUUACCCUCUACCUCCUCUACCAGCAGGUGGGGGUAGCCUUUCUGGGAGGCUUGAUCCUGUCACUGCUGCUUGUGCCCAUCAACAAGAUCUUAGCUAACUACAUCAUGAUGAACAGCAAGGAGAUGCUGAAACACAAGGACACACGGGUCAAGCUAAUGACAGAGUUCCUAUCUGGCAUUCGUGUCAUCAAGUAUUACGCCUGGGAGAAGCAUUUUGGCACCAGGAUAAAUGCCUGCCGGGCUAAAGAGCUGCAGAAGUUACGGGCCAUGAGUUACCUGGAUGCAGUGUGCGUGUACCUGUGGGCAGCACUGCCUGUUGUUAUCUCCAUUGCCAUCUUCGUCACCUAUGCUCUUUUGGGUCACCAGCUUACUGCCACAAAGGUGUUCACAGCAUUGGCCCUUGUUGGGAUGCUCAUUCUACCCCUCAACAGCUUCCCAUGGGUGUUGUAUGGGACCUUGGAAGCCAAAGUUUCCCUGGAUCGAAUCCAACGUUUCCUUGAACUCAUGGACCAGGACCUGGAAGCUUAUUAUGCCCUAGAUGGCCCUUCAGAUACUGCUACUGCCAUGGAGAUGCAAUGUGCAGCCUUCUCAUGGGUGCCGGUUGAGGAGGAAAGCACCAGGCAGCCCUUAUCCACAGGCACUCUACAACUGCACAUUGAGGACUUGUCAGUGAGAAAGGGGAUGCUCCUAGGGGUUGUUGGGAAGGUUGGCUCUGGCAAAAGCUCUCUGCUUGCAGCCAUCACUGGAGAGCUCACAAAACAAGGUGGGCGAGUGUAUAUUUGUGACCUGGAGCAAGGAUUUGGUCUGGCCACACAGGAGCCUUGGAUACAGUUUACCACUAUCCGUGAGAAUAUCCUUUUUGGGCGGGAAUAUGAUGCCAGGCUGUAUGAGGAGGUGGUGGAGGCCUGUGCCCUCUCCGAGGAUUUGAAUAUUUUACCAGCAGGUGAUCAGACAGAGGUGGGUGAACAUGGUGUGACACUCAGUGGGGGACAGAAGGCUCGAGUAGCCCUUGCCAGAGCUGUUUAUCAGGAGAAAGAGCUUUACCUCCUUGAUGAUCCCCUAGCUGCUGUUGAUGCAGAUGUAGCCAACCAUAUUAUGCAGAAAUGCAUUCUUGGAGUUCUCAAACACAAGACCAGGAUCCUUUGUACCCACAGGACGGAGUUUUUGGAGAAGGCCGAUGCCUUGUUGUUGAUAGACAAUGGCAGGAUAGUUAAGACAGGCACACCAGCUGAUAUCCUGCCACUUGUUGAAGCCUUCCCCAAGUGUAAGGAUAUGGACAAGAAGCAGAAGGAUAAAGCCCCCAAUGAACAGGGACAAGAAGAGGCCAUAGAGACAGAGAAAGAAGAAUCAAUCCAAACCAAUAAUCUCAUUCACAAGGAGGAGGAGAAGAAAGAAGGGGCAGUGGCUUUUCAGGUGUACAAGGCAUAUUGGCUGGCAGUGGGCACCUGGUUGGCGUUAUCGAUCCUCUUCUCACUGCUCCUGAUGCAAGCAUCCAGAAAUAUCUCAGAUUGGUGGCUGUCAUACUGGAUCUCCAGCAUAUCCCAGACAGCAAAUACCUCUGUGAUGAGCUGUUCAGCUUCCCUGCCUUCCCCAGAGCUGCUUCUCUUCUCCAUUGCUGGGCUUGUCUUCCCCAUUCAAGCUCUGGACACUCCCCCGGUCCCUUCCAAUGGCUCAGUGGAUGUGAAUUUCUACCUGAUAGUUUAUGGGAGCAUUGCAGGGGCCAACUCCCUCUUCACCAUUCUUCGGGCGUUCCUCUUUGCUUAUGGCACUCUCCAUGCUGCCACUGUCAUUCACAACCGACUGCUCCAGAGGGCUCUAAAGGCCACAGUCACCUUCUUUGACACCACACCAACAGGCCGAAUCCUGAACCGCUUCUCCUCAGACCUGUACUGUGUGGAUGAGAGCCUGCCAUUUGUCCUCAACAUCUUCCUGGCCAACAUGUACGGGUUCCUGGGCAUGCUAGUGAUAAUAACCUAUGGCCUCCCUUGGAUUGGUCUGGUCUUACUCCCUCUGGCUGUACUCUACUUCUCCAUUCAGCGCUAUUACCGACACACAUCCCGGGAGCUCAAGCGCCUUUACAGUGUCACCCUGUCUCCCAUCUACACUCACUUCUCAGAGACCCUCUCGGGACUGAGCAGCAUCAGAGCCAUGCGGGCAACACAGAGGUUUGAGUUGGAGAAUCAGCUGCGCCUGGAGCAGAACCAGCGCUGCCUCUUUGCCAGCAACACAGCAAUGGAGUGGCUGGACAUCCGCUUACAGAUGAUUGGAGUUGCUGUGGUUACUGCUAUUGCAGGAAUUGCCAUCAUCCAGCACCAGAAGCAACUGGGAAAUCCAGGACUUGUGGGCCUGGCACUCUCAUAUGCCCUUUCUGUCACAAGCCUGCUCUCAGACCUCAUUUCCAGCUUUACUCACACAGAGAUCAUGAUGGUGAGUGUGGAGCGGACAGAGGAAUACACUACAGACAUCCCCAUGGAGCCCCAGGAUAGAUUGGUCCAGGUUGCUGCUGACUGGCCAAGCCAGGGGCUUUUGGAGUUCCAGGAAGUGGUCCUGGCCUACAGAGCGGGCUUGCCUAAUGCACUUGAUGGUGUGAGCUUCACUGUUUAUCCUGGAGAGAAGGUGGGGAUUGUGGGUCGCACAGGAUCUGGAAAAUCCACCCUUUUCUUGGCCCUUUUCCGUAUGGUGGAGCUGAAAUCAGGCCGAAUUCUCCUGGAUGGUGUUGACAGCCAGCUGGUGGGCUUGGAGGAGCUGAGAUCUAGGCUGGCCAUCAUCCCCCAGGAUCCAUUUUUGUUCAGUGGCUCAAUCCGAGAGAACCUGGACCCCCAGGGAAAAUGGACAGAUGCUGAGCUCCAUGAAGUACUGGAGCAGUGCCACCUGCAGGAUGCUGUUACUCAGAUGGGUGGACUGGACAGCGAGCUGGGAAAGAGUCUGUCUGUGGGACAGAGGCAGUUGGUGUGUCUGGCAAGGGCCCUCCUGACACAGGCCAAGGUGCUGUGCAUUGAUGAGGCCACAGCCAGUGUGGAUCAGAAGACAGACCAGCUGCUGCAGCAGACCAUCCGCCAGCGCUUUGCUGGCAAAACUGUUUUGACUAUUGCUCACAGGCUGAACACCAUCUUGGACUCAGACCGUGUGCUGGUGAUGCAAGCUGGGAGAGUGGCAGAGUUGGAUUCACCCACCCACUUAAGCCAGAAAGAUGGCUCCUUGUUCCAGCACCUCCUGCACAGCAGGCAGCAAUGACCUCCCUGCGCCCAGGCAGCCCUUCCAGCUCAGUGCCUGGCUUUCCUUUCAGCUCAGCCACCAGCCCUGUCCCUGCAGGGACAGGAGCUGCUGAGACACAUACCUCCUCAUGAGAUACAGGAGUGGUGCCCACUCUGCACGAAGACAACCCUACCUGCUCCCUUCUGCUUUCUGAAGGCACUGACCUUUCCAAGCCCAGAAGGUUGCACCCAGAGACCUUGCUGCUUUUGUCCAGUUUACAGUGGAGAAGGCUUUCCCCUGAAGGCCAGAAUGCAAUUACAUUAAGGGCCUUUAAGGCUAGUUUAUUUCAAGACCACUUCUUUAAGGGAAACUCUCUGUCCUUCCUGCCCUGCUCUCAGCUGCACAAACCCACAGCUGUUUUCAGUUUUAGGAUCUUGCUCUUCCCAUUAGCACCCUUGGACUCAGUCUUAGGUUUUCCCCUUCUUCCCAACACUCUCAUGGCAAUGUCUAGGCUGUACACACCUUUGCUAUGCUGUCCUGAGUUAGGUGCCAUUCCUUUCCCUGAGGCUGCAGGAGCCAUCUCCACCCCUGCAGACACAAUCUGGGUUUGCAUUCUUGAGGGAAGUGAUGGAGAUACUCAUCAAGAACAAGUAGCUCAGCAACCUGAUCCACUUGGAUCUCUGAGAGCAGGAGGUUGGUGUCCAGAGGCCUUUUGCAACUGAAAUUAUUUUAUGAUUCUCUGA